rnacentral:misc_RNA from 1 species
UUGAAGAUGAGGUGGAGGAGAAAAAAAUUCCAAUUCGGGCAAUGGUGUGCCAGGGUAGGUAUUUUCUGCAUUUAGUGAGAGGGAGACAAGGUUUUCUAAUUUGAAAAUGGCUGCAUAUAGCUCACUGGCAUGAUCCUCAGACACAUUUCGAACAUCAAGGUUUCGUAGAUAGGUUAAAGUACUCAAUUCACUAGCAAAGCCAGCAUCGGCAUAGACACCAGCGCAUGUGUGAAGAUUUACCAAUGUUCCAAUCCCUCUUGGAAUUCUAAUUACAACAUCUGUGGACAUAUCGAUCAACAAAAAGUGCCGAAGCUGUUUAAUAUUAAGUAUUUCUAC